rnacentral:rRNA from 1 species
GAAUUGACGGGGGCCCGCACAAGCGGAGGAACAUGUGGUUUAAUUCGAUGAUACGCGAGGAACCUUACCCGGGUUUGAACGUAGGGAGACAGGAGUGGAAACAUUCUAUUCAGCAAUGACUGCCUACGAGGUGCUGCAUGGUUGUCGUCAGCUCGUGCCGUGAGGUGUCGGCUUAAGUGCCAUAACGAGCGCAACCCUUAUUUCCAGUUACUAACAGGUGAUGCUGAGGACUCUGGAGAGACUGCCAGCGUAAGCUGUGAGGAAGGUGGGGAUGACGUCAAAUCAGCACGGCCCUUACAUCCGGGGCGACACACGUGUUACAAUGGUAAGGACAAAGGGCAGCUACCGGGCGACCGGAUGCGAAUCUCUAAACCUUAUCUCAGUUCGGAUCGGAGUCUGCAACUCGACUCCGUGAAGCUGGAUUCGCUAGUAAUCGCGCAUCAGCCAUGGCGCGGUGAAUACGUUCCCGGGCCUUGUACACACCGCCCGUCAAGCCAUGGGAGCCGGGGGUACCUGAAGUUCGUAACCGCAAGGAUCGACCUAGGGUAAAACUGGUGACUGGGGCUAAGUC